GUUUGCUUUCAUUCUCCAAGCCUGAUGCUCAGUUACUCCAAAUUCCUUACACGAAGAAAGAUAAGAUAAGGCUAAUAGAAGACUAACAACAAACAAGAUAAGAAAACACGUGUGAUUGAAGUUUGCCCAUCAUCCAGAAAGAAAAAAGAUAAUGAGAAACAGAGGAGAAAAUGAAGCUGACAAAGAGAAAUCUACAUUGGUUAAAGGAUUUCCACAACAAGGACCAGAACAGAGAACAACGUGAGUCUGUGAGUUCGUGGCUCUUCCUAUGGGUCUUCCAAUGGCUGCGGUAAACAACAGUUGUGGACAGAGAAACACGAAGACCUGGAAGACCCAGCGAUCAUCUUAAGAGCUAAAAUAAGGAAGGAUGGGCUGAGUACAGAAAAGUUACAGAUGGUGUAUAACAGGAAGUCGAAAAUCCUAAAUACUGAAGGAUUAUUACAAUGGAGAACUGUAGCAAAAGACAGGUUAAAAUAGCACAUUAUAAAGAUUACAAUUCAAUAGUAUCUUUUUUAGGAUGGAUUUAGAUCUAAGACUCAUCAUUAUUUUAAAAUAAGAGAUAAUGUGCAGACCAGGGGAUGGACUGAUUAUUGACUUAAAGGCUGGCAUCAUCAUAAAUGAAUUCAACAGCCUAUCAGAAAAGACAAAAACCCAGGAAACUGAAGAGCUUAGCUCCAGAAAACAGGUUAAUGUCUGGUACAUUUAAGAUGGGGGGAGGCUACCAAUCCAGAAGCGACAAGGUACGGAAAGAGAUUGAGAUGUCCAGUGUCUAAAUUAUUCUCUGUAUGAGAAAAACUAAGGUCACCUCUAUUCAGUGUAUGUGACACAGUGACCCAAUAGAAAAGAAGAUAAAAGGUCAUAUCUCAACUCUUCAGAAACAACAAGUAGGAAUCAUGUUAGAGAUGCAGUCCAAGAACUCAGAGAGAAGGGUACAUGACAAAAUACAAAAGGAAUGAAGAAAUUAAAGAAGGCAAUGCAUGGAGAAGGGAUAUGGUGGCAGUAAAGUUCAGUUUUGGGACAGUGUCACCCAGGCCUUGAGCAAGAGCCACAGGAAAGUGUGCGGAUGCUGCCUGGAAUCUGUUAGUGUUUGAAAGGGGAAAGUGGAAUGCAGGGCAGAAAAGAGACUGUCAGCUUUGAAAGUACUAAGGAUCAAAAAGGAAAGAAAAAGAUAGAGGAAAUCGUGAGAGACUGGUGACAAGCACAGCAUGGCUCUGAAGCAUGAAGUCCCUGCAUGAUGGGCAAAUGAGGAGCCAUAGGUGCUGCCCUUAACAGCCACCCUCUGUCUCCAGCAUGGCCCUGUUCACAACACUGAACACUGUGUCAAAAAAUUGACAAAUUUUAAGAGGAAAGAAGGAAUUGUCAACAGUCUUAAAGGAAAAUGAAGACUAUUUGGUGCUAAAAAAUUACUCAGGAAGGUAUAAAAAUAGCAUGUUGCAUGUUUUGAACCAAUGAAGAAGAUUUCUGUAUUUUGUGUUGGAGAAUACAGUUGCGUUUUUUUAAUCCUAGCCGCCAAGAACCUCACAGCUGCUCACUCACACUGUCACUAGAGGGAUGAGGGAGAAAAUUAGUGGAAAAAAAUCAAAUGUCAUGAAUUGAGAUGCAGAGAGUUUAACAGGUAAAGCAAAAAGCACCCAUGCUAGCAAAGCAAAAGAAGGAAUGACUUCACCCCCUGGGCAGGCAGGUGUUCAGCCUUCCCGAGGAAAUCUGCGCUCCAUCACACCUAACUGUGACUUGAGAAGACAGUUGUCACCACUCUUUAUAUCUUCCCCUUCCUUCUUCCUCAGCUUUAAAUACUCAUGCCAUAUGGUACAAGGUAUCCUUUUAGUCCAUGUGGGUUACCUCUGCUGUCUAAAUCCUGUAGAAAUCCUUUAGAGUUCCCUCCUAAAUCCUUGUGCAACCCCAGCCUGCUCACUCUCCGGUGGGGUGAGAGGCAGGAAAGGCCUUGGCUCAGUGCAAGCCCUGCGCAACAAUAAUCAAAACACCCCUGCUUUAUCAAUGGUUUUUCCAGCACAACUCUAUGCUUGCAACUGUGAGGAAAAUUAACUCUAUUCCAGCCAUAACUAGCACAAUAGUCUAUUGCAUCUCAGUAAUGACAUAAAAUGAGAUGAAUGUUACAGUAGUGUUAUCAUUUAAUAGAUCAACUGCACAAAUGUCAUGCUUAUGCACAUUUACUGAAACAAAUAUACCUUGAAAAGAACAGAAUUAAUCAACAGGUCAUCCCUACCUCUGCCUUUCAGAGGAAGCUAAAUCAGCUCCCUACAGGCAGCUGCAAGAAGAGAGUACCAAGCAGGGAGUUUAGUAUGCAAGCUGCUGCUGUUCUGCCUAAGUGAGAAAACACGACUGUUUCAACAAGCUGUUAGUAACUCUGUGUAUGUGCUGUGCAAUGUAUUAUGCAAAUUCACUCCUUUAAACGUUAAUUUGAGGUCAAUGUGGAAAUAUGCCAAAAUUCUUAUAGUUAGAUGAGAAAAUGCACUUUGAUAAGGUUAGCCACUAAUUUUGUUAAUUUAUUAUUGUGACCCUAUAUUAAACCAUUUGAUCUUGUCAUUGCAAAUACCAAUUUUUUUACACUUUAAUCACUUCAGUCUUUAUUAAAAUUUUUACCAGCCUGUUCAGUCAAUAAUUGAACUAACAAAAGCCUGUACUCAACGGUGCUGUUUUCUUCCAUGUGUAACUGCUACCAAAUAGUGGCCAGCUGGGCUUAUUGUGGAGCUGAAUGCCCAGAAUUUUCCAGAAUGGCAGAGGGAAACAAUGCUGCAUAGGCUAAGGCCAAGCACUGUUAUGAAGACUUGGACUUGAAACGCCAUACUACAUAUACAUAUUCAGAAAACAGGAAGCCUGAUUAUCUCUGCUGAGAUUUGAUUGUGACUAAACUGGCAGCUAAGGGAGGUGCUUGUCUGGAACAGAUAUAAGCUUGUGGUUUGGCUGAUUGUGGUGGAGUGACUGGUGUUGAAAGCUUGAAGUCAGAGGGUGUAAAGAUCACAGUGCAUCUCUGUUGGCUUUCACAGUUACACGGAAUGGCAUGUGAACCUAUGUGAACCUUCUGCCUGGGGGGCCUGCUUAGUGUGAGAUCUGAUUAAUCUCAAUCAGUUAACUGAUUAAGAAAUACACUGUCAGUAUGCUAGAAGACUAAAACCAGCAUGGAAGAGCAAUGUGUAUUUUUCAAAAUUUUUUUGGUAGCUGCAGCUCAGUGGCAUUGCUAGACUGUACAAUAUUGUCACUUGACUGAUAAUAUAUUUCUUAUUUCUUGCAGUAUGGUUGGGUUUUUUUGCCAUACUGCCUUUCGCAGAUCAAUUAAAACAUUAAUCUGACGUGCCAAGCUCAUCUUUGUUAAGGAAACAUUUCCUGGUUUGUGAGGAUGCAGACUAGAGGAUCCUGUAGGAACACUAUGGGAAAAAUAUCUGUAGGACACUACAGGAAAAUAUAGGAACACUACAGGAAUAGGAAACCAUUUUCCAGUUUUAGGAGAGAUAUAUCAUGAAUGAGGAAAGCAAAUGCCAGUAUUCUCAGGCUGUGUCUAUCCUGCUGUGCAAAGAUUUGAGAGUUCAGGGAGUGGUGGUGACUUAAUGGCUGUUGAGGAAGUAAAGGGGAUGAAGUUUUACCUCAUACAAAUCUUUUGUCAGCAAACUUUGCAUGUGAUGUGGCCAGUCAUAAACACUGGACACUUACUGCUGAAAAAAACCCCACCCGUGCAGAGUCUGCUUCUCCACAGAAUGACAGAUUUAUUAAAGCACAGGGUGCCACAUCCAAAUGAUGAGAGCUCUGCAGUCAGAAGAGUUAAUUUUCAAUGAAAAUCCUCCACAAAGGUCCUGACUCCAGUCUGCGUGCAGUUUAUAGCAGAAUAAAUGCUGAACACUUCUGGUUGUGAAUGCUCAGAAACUGUGUUUACUUUUAAAAACAAAGGCUGUCUUUGCAAACUGUGCAUACACUUAAGUUGCUCUCCUUCCUUAUCCUUUAUCCAUAUGGGUCUUCACAAGGCAAAACUUAAAUGCUUCCAGUCUCAAUAUAUUUCUCCAACCUUGUGGUUUUUUUCCUUUUUUUCUUGACACCCCACAUCUCCCACCAGUCUUGCUUGCUGACCCUUCUUCUGCCAUUUUUUAUUGUAUUUCUGCUUAGUGUUUUCCACCACCAUAUUUUUCUGGACUGUCUUUCCUUCUGCCCUCUGUACCCUAGUUGCUGACCUCAUUCUGAACAAAUGUAUACCUGAAAUUUUCAGACUGUUUGACUGAAAGAAGAAAAUCAGCUUAAAAUCUUUCCAUUUUAGUUGUCAAACUUGUCAAAAUUAAAAAAAAAUUAUAAAUGGGUUUUGUUUGCUAUUUCCUUAAAAUACAGCAGUAUUUGCAUGAAAAGAUGAAAAUUGUCAUGCAGUUCUUGGGUACAUAAGACAGGUGUUAUUGUACUGGUAUGACAAAAUAAAAAUACUAAAAUUCAGUAGCAGUUAUAAUUAAUUAUUAAUCAGGAGGGCCUCGGAGAUUCUGAAUUAUGUACAGAAACAUUCUUCUAAGUUAUCCAAAAGUAUACAGAGCCCAAACAAGGUUCGCUGGAGUUCUUAAUGAUGUGAAAUACAAAGGCCCUGAUCCUUCUGUGUUCAAGCCAAAUUUCAUGCUUUGCACUGCAUCUCUUUUAUUGGGUUUGAUCAGAUUUGCUUAGUGUAUCACUUAAAAUAGGAUUCCAUUAACAUACUAACCUUUGGUAUGCUCUAUCUCUUUACAUGCUGUCACAUAUUUGCAAAGGAGUGUCUGUCAUUGUGCUGUGGAUCUUUUUGAUUCAAACUGACUGUAAAUUUAAACAUGUGAUGCUCCUGAAGUUCAGAUAAGUCGACAUUUGUUUUCAUCUUGAAAUGGGGUUACCUCUUUGGUGUAUCAGAAGUCUGCACUAUAAGCUUCAAAAAAGAAGUAAUCUUAAAAUACAAAUUUUCUUUGAGGAACUGUGAGAGAAAAAUAAACAUAUUAAUACAACAUUUUGUGCAUGUUCUAUUUAUUUUUGCAUUUGUUUUGAUCUCCACUAAGAGAUACAAGCCAUCCAUGCAGCAUUUUAAUAAAAAAUCCCAACAACUUGUAAAUAAAAUCACUUAUGUAGAUUAAAGAGGUGUAGUCAUUACAUAAGAAACUUUAGAAAAAUAUGAAAAGGACUGUACUGAGAAACUAGUUUUUAUAAAAAAUUUGUUUUGGAUUACCUCCCAAAAAGUUUAACUUUUUUUUUCCCUCUAAAAUGGUUUAAUAAAAAGCAAAUAAUACAAUAGAAGUAUAUAGUUCUUUGAAACAUUUCUCUCCAUGCUUAAUAAAUGAGUAUAUUUUCAUGUUUUCCUUAGAUGCUUGAGUGUAAUAGAGACAUAAUUUUCUUAUGUUAAUAAAACUUUAAAACUUUAAUUUUUCAAUAUACUUGUAUACCUCUGGAAUAAUUUAUGUUAAUGCUUAUUUACUUCUGUAGAGGCAAAAAUACAUAUGUAUACAAAUUUAUUAUUUGAGAUGUAGGGUGCACUUUCGCAGAUGAUGAUUCCCAGUUUGAGGAGAACAGACUUUUCAAUUUUGCAUGUGGAAUUUGGUGUAAGCUGUAAAAUUGCUGAUUUAUAUUUGGUGAAUACUAAUUUUCAGUUAAGUCAUCUUGUAUGUGAAAGAAUUUUUUUAGGUUUUUUCAGUUGUUUGAUUGAUUGGUUGCUUGCUUGCUUGCUUGGUUAGCUGGAUUUUUUAGUUUUCUUUCCUGAAUUUUUCAAAAGCACCACAGUUUCAAUAGCACAAAUAUUUUUGGAAACCUUAAAAAAUGAACUUGAAUAUUACAAUUAAAUUAAUUUCAGUCUGCAAAAGUAGCACCUCUAUUUAGAGUAAAAUAUUCAGGUGCAUAACUAAAAGAUUACAGGGGUAAUGAUUAUUGAUAUAAGUUGUUCCAUUAGAAAAGAGACAUUAUAUUAUCUGCACUAGGCAUGAGCAAAACAAUAAAAAAUUAAGUGCUUUAAAAAAUGUACUAAUCAGAAACUAUUAACUCAACAUGCUCACCAAUAAUUUUGGGUAAUGGAUGGAUGGGAAUCUUGUCAUUUCUAGGGGCCAAUUUGCAAAGAAACAGGAAAAUUUGUCAAACAAAUUGGAUCAUACUGAAUCAUAUGGUCUACUUUCCUUGGAUAUGCAUUUGGCUUCAAUAUAUUUGUUCUUUGAAAAUCCAUGAGCUCCCUUAGACUACCAGCCUACUGCUACUGUAGAGACUUCAGAGUUAACAUUUCCUCAAGAAUGAUUUUAUAAAAUCAAAGGACAUUUCUCCUCCUAAUAAAUAUGAGAAAGCAGAUGCUGUAGAAUGAUUAUUUAGCAGUAAUUUCUAAGGACCAAUGUUAUAUUCUGGUAUUAAAUAUAUGAAACAUCUAAUAUAAUUUAUUUUCAGAUUAUAUAUUAGUCUAAUUAAUAUUAUAUAUUAAUCUAAUAUAAUGUGUUUUCAUGGCUUACAUUAUGGACUCAUUUGAAUUGCUACUUUUUCAUGUUGAGAUAUUUUAAUAAAGCAUGUAAUAUAUAAUUAUAUAAUAUAGAUCUAUAUAUGAAUUGUUUGUUCUAAUAUACACAAUUUGAACAUAAUAUAUAGAAAUAAAUUAUGUACGAUUGUGCAGUUAUCUGUAUUUUUGCAGGCUGAAAAGCUGUCCAGUAGAA